GCUUUUAUACCACAAUGGCUAUAUAAUGACUACAAGUUGGCGAAUUGUCCAGAGCUAUUGUAUGUGUUCGUCAAACAUAAUCCCUUAAUUGAAGCUGCCGAAUUACCACAUGCACUGUUGGAAGCUAGAAGCGAAUUCUCAGUUUCAGAUAUCGAGUAUAAGCAGGAGCUCACAAAUUUAGAGGACGAUACCACACAGCGCACAGCAAAUAAAAUAUCCAAAU